rnacentral:rRNA from 1 species
AUUGAACGCUGGCGGCAGGCUUAACACAUGCAAGUCGAGCGAGCGGCGGACGGGUGAGUAAUGUCUGGGAAACUGCCUGAUGGCGGGGGAUAACUACUGGAAACGGUAGCUAAUACCGCAUACUAUAAGAUCUGCCCAGAUGGGAUUAGCUAGUAGGUGGGGUAAAGGCUCACCAAGGCAACGAUCCCUAGCUGGUUUGAGAGGAUGACCAGCCACACUGGAACUGAGACACGGUCCAGACUCCUACGGGAGGCAGCAGUGGGGAAUAUUGCACAAUGGGCGAAAGCCUGAUUCAGCCAUGCCGCGUGUGUGAAGAAGGCCUUCGGGUUGUAAAGCACUUUCAGCGGGGAGGCGUUACUCGCAGAAGAAGCACCGGCUAACUCCGUGCCAGCCGCCGCGGUAAUAC